rnacentral:rRNA from 1 species
CGCGUAGGCGGGUUCGCAAGUCGGGGUGAAAUCUUUCAGCUUAACUGGAAAGUGCCCCCGAUACUGCGAGUCUCGAGGGAGGUAGGGGCAUGUGGAACUAAUGGUGGAGCGGUGAAAUGCGUAGAUAUCAUUAGGAACGCCGGUGGCGAAAGCGACGUGCUGGACCUCUUCUGACGCUGAGGCGCGAAAGCUAGGGGAGCAAACGG